GGACUACAGGGGUAUCUAAUCCUGUUUGAUACCCACACUUUCGUGCCUCAGUGUCAGUUAUGCCUUAGUAAGCUGCCUACGCAAUCGGAGUUCUGCGUGAUCUCUAAGCAUUUCACCGCUACACCACGCAUUCCGCCUACUUCAUCCAUACUCAAGACCGACAGUUUCAACGGCAAUUUUAUCGUUGAGCGACAAACUUUCACCGCUGACUUAUCAGCCCACCUACGCACCCUUUAAACCCAAUAAAUCCGGAUAACGCUCGCAUCCUCCGUAUUACCGCGGCUGCUGGCAC
rnacentral:rRNA from 1 species